UUUGCGCGCGACUCCUCUUGCUCUUGCGCAAAACAAAUAAAACAUAGAAUGCGAAAAUGCGCAGUAGAGACGAUAAAAGAGCGAAAUUGGGUAAAGAGAGAGAAAAUUUGGAUGAUAUUUCAAAGGAAGGAGUAGAUAAACUUGUAAGGCGUGUUAAUAAUAAAAGUAAUGCAAGAACCAAAGAAAAUAAAAAGGAAGAUACAAAAAUAACAUGGAAUGAAGUUGAUGAUGAUUCAAGAAAAGAAAUUUACAGUGAAAGUUUUAAUAUUUCAAAGAGGAAUAACAGUGAUGAUGAUGAUAAUGUUGAUUGGGAAGAUGGUUCUGCUUCAAUGCUGGACUUUGCAAAGAAUAGUUUAGGCGGUGGCUUGACUAUUGAGUUUAGCGAGUCUCCUGAUUCUGUUAAGAAGAAGCCUAUUCGUCGAGCUACGGCUCAAGAAAAGGAAUUGGCAGAGCUUGUACACAAGGUUCAUUUACUUUGUUUACUUGCUAGGGGAAGAAUAAUUGAUAGUGCUUGUGAUGAUCCUCUCAUUCAGGCCUCUUUACUUUCUCUGCUGCCAGCACAUUUGUUGAAAAUAUCAGGAGUGUCAAAACUCAGUGCUAAUGCUUUAUCUCCUCUUGUCAGUUGGUUUCAUAAUAACUUUCAUGUUAGAAGCUCUUUCGGCGAGAAAAGACCAUUUCAAUCAGCUUUGGCCUUUGCACUUGAAACUCAUGAAGGAACUCCAGAAGAGAUUGCAGCAUUGUCUGUGGCACUAUUCAGAGCUUUGAAUCUUACAACCCGGUUUGUGUCCAUUCUAGAUGUUGCCUCAAUAAAACCUGAUGCUGACAAAUGUGAAUCUGCUACUCAAGAUAUGAGCAGAGAUUACAGGGGGGUUUUCAAUACUUCAACAUUGAUGGUAGAUAGACCAAAAGAGGUUUCUAUGUCUCCUAAGUUAUUUUCAUGCAAUGAGAAAAGCAAUGUGUGUGAAACUUCUGCGAAGGCUUCUUGCAUAAGUAACUACCCAAGGAGCAAGAAAACUCACUGUGAAAGUCCCCUUGCUGCAGCUGAAUUGGAAAAUCAAACAACAGCUUCUGAAUCAUGUAGUAGCUCAAAAUCUCAGGGUUCAAAGAGGAAAGGUGAUCUUGAAUUUGAGAUGCAGUUACAAAUGGCUCUCUCUGCAACGGCAAUUGAAGCUCCUCAAAUUAGCAUGGGAUCAGAUGUGAUAAGCUUGAUUAAUGAUACAUCAAAUAUCUCUUCUUCACUUAAAAGAAUUAAGAUGGUUGGAAGUGAGGAAUCUCCCAUCCAUGGAAUCUCAACUGCACUUGGAUCAAGAAAAAUAGGAUCUCCUCUGUAUUGGGCAGAAGUAUACUGUAGUGGAGAAAACUUGACAGGGAAAUGGGUUCAUAUAGAUGCUGUAAAUGCAAUUGUAGAUGGAGAGCAAAAGGUUGAAGCCUCAGCUGCUGCAUGUAAAACUUCUUUGAGAUACGUGGUUGCUUUUGCUGGGCAUGGUGCUAAAGAUGUGACCCGCAGGUAUUGUAUGAAGUGGUACAAGAUAGCAUCACAAAGAAUUAACUCAAUUUGGUGGGAUGCAGUGUUGGCCCCGUUAAGGGAGUUGGAAUCAGGAGCUACAGGGGGUAUGGUUCCUCUGGAAAAGCACCAAGCCAAUGCCUCAAAUAGACAUAAAAUUGUGAAUGUAUCAGGAGUGUCUGAUUGUUUAAUACAGGAUAAUUUUCCAAUGCAUGCCAACUUGUCUGAGAAGUUAGGGUCCUUUAAAGGGCCUGAAGUUCCUGAGAGGAAGACUGAUAUAGAAUCUUCUGGGAGGAACUCUUUUGUUUCAACUAGGACCUCUCUUGAGGAUAUGGAGUUGGAAACUAGGGCACUAACUGAGCCUCUCCCCACUAAUCAGCAGGCCUACAAAAAUCAUCAACUAUAUGCUAUUGAAAGAUGGCUUACAAAGUAUCAGAUACUUCAUCCCAGGGGUCCUGUUCUGGGAUUCUGUUCUGGUCAUCCAGUUUAUCCUCGUGCUUGUGUGCAAACACUCAAAACAGAACAUAGAUGGUUGCGUGAAGGACUGCAGAUUAAAGCCAAUGAAUGUCCAACAAAGGUAUUGAAACAAUCUGCAAACCUUAAGAAAGUAAAAUCUUCAGAAGAUGAUGACUACAGCGAAGUGGAUCCUAAAGGAAAUAUUGAACUUUAUGGGAAGUGGCAGCUGGAACCCCUGCAGUUGCCUCAUGCUGUAAAUGGCAUUGUGCCAAAGAAUGAGCGUGGUCAAGUUGAUGUGUGGUCUGAAAAGUGCCUGCCACCAGGGACCGUGCACUUGAGGCUGCCAAGGGUAUUUCAUGUUGCCAAGAGACUGGAAAUUGAUUAUGCACCUGCCAUGGUUGGAUUUGAAUUCAAAAAUGGUCGAUCUGUCCCUAUCUUUGAGGGUAUUGUGGUGUGUGCGGAAUUUAAAGAUGCAAUCUUAGAGGCAUAUGCUGAAGAAAAAGAGAUCAGAGAAGCUGAAGAGAAGAAAAGAAAUGAAGCACAGGCUAUAUCUAGGUGGUAUCAACUUCUUUCAUCAAUCAUAACUCGACAAAGGUUGAAUGACCGUUAUGGGAACAGUUCGUCAUUGCAGAUGUCAAGUGGUAUCCAAGAUAGAAAUAAUAAAUUAGUACAUGUUCAUAAUGAACCUAAGAAGAAAUCUCAGAGAUGCCAGGAAGAAGGCAAUCAGAAGCCCAAAUCAGAUGCUCCUUCAGUGGUUAUAACAGAAGAUCACGAGCAUGUAUUUUUGGCUGAAGAUCAGAGUUUUGAUGAGGAGAGUUCAAUGAGGAUGAAGCGAUGUCAUUGUGGACUUUUAAUCCAAGUGGAGGAAUUAUAGCACCAAGAUAUGGAAAUCCACCGUAAGGUGGUUCUUGAAGAAGCUAGAUUCAAGAUCUAAUCAAGAUAGGCUCCAAUCUGGAAUAACAAAUGUUGGCGCCAAGAAAAAGUUGGAAAGAGAACUUUUAUUACCCUCUCAAUUGUGCUUUCAAAUUUCGCAGCACGUGGCCUCAUGUUCAUGAAAAUUUAUUUUAUGAGCUUUUAUAGAAAUUUGCAGUUUGCACCAUGUUUUUUGGGAAUAAAUAGAUAGUACUGUGGAGGGAAACGAUAUUGAGGAAAAAUUUGGAGGGGAAAUUAUUAUUUUUGUUCACUAUCUUGUUUGGAUUGGGGGAAAAGAACAGGGAAAGGAAAUGGGACAAGUUUGUUUCAUUAAUUAUAACUAUUUAUUCUUCUUAUAAA